AUGAAGACCUCCUAAACACGUGAUUUUGAAGUGCGGAAGUAAAGUUGUGAUUUCGAAGAAAUCUACGGGAAAACGUGAGUGAAUAUUUGUUUCUCACGGGUUGGAAAAUUGCUAACCUAAAGAAUCCAUUAUGGAUGACGACGAGGAGACCUACAGACUAGGGAAAAUCUGUAAAACAAUCAUGCAGUCGCUGGUGGACAUGGCACCCAAAUACGUCCUGGAGCAGUUUCUACAACAGGAGCUCCUCAUUAACAUCACAGUGCAUGAGAUAUGUGCGCUAGUUUAGAGUUGCAGUUGCAGAACAAAUCUAUUGGUACACUUGCACCUUUCUUAAGUAAUUCCCUAUUUCUUCCCCCAAAAAAUUGAUGAAAUUGAAUAAAACUUUUGGUCUCCA